rnacentral:rRNA from 1 species
GAUGAACGCUGGCGGCGUGCCUAAUACAUGCAAGUCGAGCGAAUGGAUUAAGAGCUUGCUCUUAUGAAGUUAGCGGCGGACGGGUGAGUAACACGUGGGUAACCUGCCCAUAAGACUGGGAUAACUUCGGGAAACCGGGGCUAAUACCGGAUAAUAUUUUGAACUGCAUGGUUCAAAAAUGAAUGGCGGAUUCGGAUGUCACUGACGGAUGGACCCGCGUCGCAUUAGCCAGUUGGUGAGGUAACGGCUCACCAAGGCAACGAUGCGUAGCCGACCUGAGAGGGUGAUCGGCCACAAUGGGAAUGAGACACGGCCCAGACUCCUACGGGAGGCAGCAGUAGGGAAUCUUCCGCAAUGGACGAAAGUCUGACGGAGCAACGCCGCGUGAGUGAUGAAGGCUUUCGGGUCGUAAAACUCUGUUGUUAGGGAAGAACAAGUGCUAGUUGAAUAAGCUGGCACCUUGACGGUACCUAACCAGAAGCCCCGGCUAACUUCGUGCCAGCCGCCGCGGUAA